rnacentral:lncRNA from 1 species
UGACGCAAACCGUAUUGAGUACCACAAGAAUGAGCUGACCAAGACUGAUCUGGACUUUCAAAAGUUUGGAGAUCUGCAAUUAAAAGAACAAGAUCUUACAGUUUUACAAGCUUCUACACUAUUUGAAUCCAUAAAUACAAGGACCACUAAUCAUCUCAUCGUUGGACUGCUUUCACACACUGGCACUAACUGUGGGAAGCCUAGGUACCUCAGUGUUCUCCUCCUAGCACUGCGAAUAAAUGCUAGAACUGCCCCCUAA